rnacentral:rRNA from 1 species
AUGUGCCGGAGCUAACGCGUUAAGCGAUCCGCCUGGGGAGUACGGUCGCAAGACUGAAACUCAAAGGAAUUGACGGACUCCUACGGGAGGCAGCAGUAGGGAAUCUUGCGCAAUGGGCGAAAGCCUGACGCAGCCAUGCCGCGUGAAUGAUGAAGGUCUUAGGAUUGUAAAAUUCUUUCACCGGGGAAGAUAAUGACGGUACCCGGAGAAGAAGCCCCGGCUAACUUCGUGCCAGCAGCCGCGGUAAUACGAAGGGGGCUAGCGUUGCUCGGAAUUACUGGGCGUAAAGGGCGCGCAGGCGGCCCUUGAAGUCAGGCGUGAAAGCCCCGGGCUCAACCUGGGAGGUGCGCUUGAUACUCGAGGGCUUGAGUGCGGGAGAGGAGAGUGGAAUUCCCAGUGUAGAGGUGAAAUUCGUAGAUAUUGGGAAGAACACCGGUGGCGAAGGCGGCUCUCUGGACCGUAACUGACGCUGAGGCGCGAAAGCGUGGGGAGCAAACAGGAUUAGAUACCCUGGUAGUCCACGCUGUAAACGAUGUGCGCUAGACGUUGGGGGACCUAGUCCUCCGGUGUCGCAGCCAACGCGAUAAGCGCACCGCCUGGGGAGUACGGCCGCAAGGUUAAAACUCAAAGGAAUUGACG